rnacentral:rRNA from 1 species
CUACGGGACGCAGCAGUCGAGAAUCUUCCGCAAUGGGCGAAAGCCUGACGGAGCGACGUUACGUGAAUGAAGAAGCUCUUCGGAGUGUAAAGUUCUUUUCUCUGGGAGGAAGUUAUUGACAGUACCAGAGGAAUAAGGGGAUCCUAAUUCUGUGCCAGCAGGAGCGGUAAUACAGAAUCCCCAAGCGUUACCCGGAUUUAUUGGGCGUAAAGGGUUCGUAGGUGGUAAAGUAAGUUGAAAGUUAAAACUCAUCGGCUUAACCUUUGAGGUGCUUUUAAUACUGCUUUACUUGAGGGCGUUAGGGGUUAACGGAACCGACGGAGUAGGGGUGAAAUCCGUUGAUAUCGUCGGGAACACCAAAAGCGAAGGCAGUUAACUAGGACGACCCUGACACUGAGGAACGAAAGCGUGGGGAGCAAAAAGGAUUAGAUACCCCCGUAGUC